UGCUAGGUUAACGGUUGGACUCGAUCUUAAAGGUCUUUUCCAACCUAAACGAUUCUCUGAUUCUCUGAUUCUCUGACAGCUGACGUUUGGUGGAAGAACUCUGCCACCCCAUCAGCAGGAGCUGAUCUCUGAACAUCCUCUGGUGCCUUGGAAAUUUCUUUCCCUGGGUCUGAAAGGUUUUUAUGGGUGGUGAGAUGUUCCAGUGCUUGGAUCAAUGUUUCAUUUAAUGUUGGGAAGGAGGGGAUUUUUUUUGUUGUUUGGUUGGGUUUUUAAGUCAGCAUAGCAGAUCCAGGUGACGUGUAUCUACGUAUAUAAACACGUUCAACACUGUAUGUGCACAAAGCAAAUGUAACUGUCCCAGGGCAGAAAAAGACCAGGAGGAACUGCCACAGAGGGGGAAAGGGGAAGCUUUGGCUGAGGAGUUUUUCAAACUGGAUUGAUAUCGGAAGUGCAGUGAAAACCAUGAUACACAUGUGGACUAAAUGCAGAUUCUUUUAGCAAAGAAGCCGACUUCCACAAAAGAAACUGGGAUGUCGGGGAUUUACUUCACCAGCAGUGCUGUGUCAGCUGGAGCUCACCUUAGCCCCAGGUUUAGCAAGAUUUCUGCUAUGGUGUGAAUGACACGGAAGAGGAAAAUCUCUCUCCUGUGCUUAGAAGGCGAGGCUGAAGCAGCAUCUGCUGGAACGGUGUGAUCUCACAACGCUAAAGGAUGCGAAUCCUCAGGUGAGGUCCCAAACGCUACGCAGCACAGUGGGGAGCUUUGCUGCUGGCUUCGGUAUUGCUGGGAUUUCACCCCUCGGCCAGAGAACUGAAGCGUGCUUUUAAUUUCCUCCUGUGCUCAGGUCUGUCCCUGUUCAGCAGAGCGCUAAAUCCUCUGCCUGAGCGCUCGCAGUCCUCUGCCAGGACAAUGUGAGAGUUGUCAUGAGCUGUGUUUCGGGGAUUGCAUGAGCCAGGUUAGGGGAAUAAAAAUAAAAAUUAAAAAAAAAAAAAAAAUUUAUGUAUGUAUGUAAAUAUAAAAGCAUCCUGGGAUUUCUGGACUGAGAUCAGAUGUGAUGUGCUUUGGGUGAUGACAUCCUGCCAGUAACCCAGCGGACAAACCUGUGUAACGAUGCUUUUCCUUCACUGCAGACCUGCUGUCUGUCCCCUGCCACAGGAUUCCUUUAUAAAAGCCUGUUAAAAAUAACUCUGCUCUCCAGGAUAUUUAACUUGCUCUGUUUUCGGUUAGCCACUGCUGAACCUUAUAAAGGAGAGAGGUUUUUAACUUGCAGCCUGGUGUGUAUCCAGAGUUCAGAAAUCUCCGCAGAAGAUUAAGCAAGUUAGAGAAAUUAGCUUUGAUCCCUUUCUGCCAGCAUAGGAUUAUUCCGCAUCAUACUGGUUUUGAAGUUCAUGUCUAAUCCAGUUUUACACGUCUCAGGGGACUGGGCUUCUUACGACUUCUUCUGCGAAAUGGUUGUGUGGUGUAGCCUCUGAUUUAGAGGUACUUACUUGAUGCCGAGAUUCAAUUUGCAUUUCCAUUACUGCAUCCCAUUUCAUCCUGUGCCGUAUACAUAAUGUCGCUACUUUGUGGUAUAUGGCUUUCAAAGGCAUAUGGAUCAUUAUCGCGCUCAUGCUAUUUUAUAUGCUCACUACACACUUAGUCGAACUAUAUAUAUUUGAACCCCAUUCUUGCAAACAACUGUGCGUGACUUGUGUGUAGGUCUUCGAACUGCCGAACAUAUUUACAUACAAAAGGGCUUGUAAUGUCCAGUGUGGAUCAUAGUGCACAAAAACAACUGGUGUGAGAUGAUUAAAAGAGCCAUGGGUGCAGAAACAUUGCUAAUCAAGGCAAAGAGGAGGGUCAUGUUACUGUUUUCUGGCAAAGUGGAAGGUUCAAAUGGUCAGUCCUGAGGUUUUUUUAAAUGCACUGCGUUUCAUGCAUGAUGAGUUUGUAAAACCGUAAGUUUUCUUUCUAAUAAAUGUGUAUUUUCAGGCUUAAAAAA